UUUACACGCUUUCAGAGCCAGCGGAAGAUUUGCUCACCCUCUGCCAUCCCCCGCACCCCCCGAGUUCCCCUGCUUUCCGCGCUGGGGCUUUUCCCAGACCCGCCCCAGCAUCCCUGACUUGCUUCUGCAGCCUGAGCGCCGGGUAGGCCGGGGGCGGGCAGAGUUGCCGCCUGGGAGCCCGGGAGCCCCGGGGCUCAGGAUGGCCCGUGCGGGGAGCUUUCUGCAGGUUCUGCGAGCCCCGUCCGGCGGAGCCCUGCAGGGUGGCUGCGGUGGUCGUGCCCGCCCUGCGGGUCGGGAGGUGACCGCAGAGGCCGGCUCCCCUGGCCAGCUGGCUCCCGCUGCCCUCCAGCCUCCUUACCCCCAUCCCUUGGUCUGAGACCGCCUUCCCCAGUGUUGAGGGAGCCCCGUCUCCCCUCGCCUCCCACGCCGUGCCCGGCAGGGCAGGAGGGUUUCAAAUCUCGGCGCUGCUGGGCAUCUGGGGCAGGUCAUUCGACUUCAGCCCUCGGGUCCCUCCUCUGUUCGGUGAGGGAUUUCCACCCACCUCACGGGGUCACUGAGGGAGAGGCAGCACACGGCGUGCUUGGGGUGACACGGGGCAUGCAGUGGGCCCGCGGUCACUGUGGGAUGGAAAGAGAACAGCCGUGUGUGUCGGACUCAGAAUGGCUCACAAAGUCACAGCAAGGAAAGCAGCGUGCUGGUGGCAUAGGGACCCACCCGGAGCCCUGUGGGACAGACGGGAGGAGCCCGGAAUAAGCCCUCACAUCUGUGGCCGGGGUCUUUCAUGAGAGGCCGGAUCCGAAUCCACUCGGAGAGAAAGCCUGGUCUCCUGAGUGAACGGUGCUGGGACGGCAGGUCCCCACAUGCCCAGAGUGCGCCGGGACCGCCACCUCCCGGAGCUGACGCAGACGCCAACUCAGAGUCAGUCAAAGGCCGGAAUGCAAGAACUGAAACCAGAACAUUGCUGGGGAGAAACACAGUGGUGACGCUUCGUGACCUUGGGUUCGGCCGUGGACUCUCCGGUAUGACACCAACAGUGCCAGCCGCAAGGGGCAAGCAGGUGCAAGCUGUCGGCCACGGCUGCCGGGAUCCUGGCCCCCUCUCCUGCACCAAGUGAUGCGCGGCAGGGGGCUGACCUGCUGGGCUCUGAGUCCCACCUGGAUGACAGGGGUGGUAGUUGUGGCCCGGGCGGGGUCGUGGUGGGUCUGCCCGCAGGAAGCACUCCGCUCUGUGCCUGGCAUGGGGCUCAGGAACAUUCAGCCAGUGUCGGGGUGGGGGCGGGGCUGGUGAGGGUGAUCCCUGGCUGCGGGCACCAAGAGGUGGGGACGCCAUCUGCUCCGAAGAUGGACCAUGGUGGCAGGGGCACGGAGGCCCUGCUCCUUGCCCUCUGCAGACGCUUGCUCCCAGCACCCACGCAUGGACUUAGCUCUGCCCUCGUGUCUUGAGGGUGAGCGCUGGGGCGGGGGGGGAGGUUUGCUUCCUCUCCUGGUCAGUGGGUCUACAUCAGGGGAGCCCUGCUGAGCGGUCCUGCUCCCCGGGGAAGGCUUUGUCCUCCAGCGAGAUGUCCCCAGGUGCCCAGUGCAGUAGACACGGGUCCUGUGUCUUCUCCAGGAACUCACUUUUCUUCGCUGGUUUUGUGGACUUUUGUCCCCAUCCUGGCCUCUGACACAUUUUCUCUCUCUUGUCCGUCCGACGGCAACCCCUCCGGCAGGGGCUGUGUGGGGGUAGGAUGGGUCCCGUGCUGUGAUGGUGACAGGUUGGAUGUUCCUUGUCCCUGUCCCUGUGCCCAGUGGGGGGCUGUCUGCACCAUAGAGCCGUGAACGGUGUGGCUCUUGUCUGUUACUAGAACCGCGUCCCGACCUCUAGCAGGUUCUUAGAGCAGCCCACAUACAUGUGGAGCCCCGGGGAGCUGGGGGUCAAGUUCUGCUCCCUGUCAAAGCUGGCCUGACCUCCCCUUAGGGACGGCUGCCCCGCUGGGUUUGCUGAAGACCAAGGUCAUAGGUUGCCUUAGUCAGGCUGAAAUGCAGGAUGGGGAGGGGUGUCUGAUCAUGAGGACGAGAGAGGGGUUUUCUGAUUGUGCUGAAGCAUCGGGAGGGCAUUCAAGCGAGACUCCCAGACCGUGCCAUCUGUCCAGCACAGCUGUUAGAGACGGGAGAUUGGGGUCUUACGGGCGGCGUUUUGCUCCCCACCUGCUCGAGGUCCAGGUCACCUUGGAGAUGUGGAAGCCAGGCAGCUACGUUCCCGGCUGGGUGGGG